UAUUACGCGACCAUACGUUUACUAACCACAACCGUAGCUGGUCGCGUACGCACCUAAAUAAUUAUCUGGAAAAGCCGUGACGUUAACUGAACAAAAUGUGAACAGUAAAUAUUUGGGCAGUUUACAAGAUAGCAUGGCGAAGUUAACACAAUUGUGGCAGUUAUAUAACGGAGCCUUUGGCGGAAUAUAAAGAAAAAAGAAAAUGUGGUCAUAUUCAAGCGUGGACAUCCCAGGACCCCGGAUGAGCCGCACAGAUCGAAUCAAAAUAUAUUUAUCCGAAUGUAUAGUUUGUUUUUGUAUCGUCUUUUUUAUAAUAUGCGUGGGACUGUUGUUAUAUUUAUUUUUUCACUUAUAUAGCACCGUAUCCAAUGCUGGAAAAUUGACGGGUACUUUAGCAGAGAGCUGAGCCAAAACAUACAUAACAUUUUAUCUAUGACCAAAGUGUAAUUUCAUAGAUAUUAGUAUAAUGUUUUUUUUUUUGUUUGUCUUAAAUAGUAACUAUUUUUAAUAUAGAAUUGCUUACAUCGACUCAUCUAUUUUUGAGUGUCUUAGUAAAUGUUAAGUAUUAGAUAAGCAUGAGCUUUAUAAAGCCUUAUUUCUUAAGAUUAUACCCCUAAUAAAAUUGUAGAAUUAACUGCUAUUUUGAGGUGACUAGAAAAAUAAAACAUAAGAAAUAUCUUAAAUAUAUAGUAUAAAUACGAAACUUUUUAACUAGGGGUGGAUGGAUGUUUGUUAGUUUGUCACGUAAAAAGUACUGAAUGGAUUUAAAUGAAAUUUAGUACACGCGUAGAUAGGUAGGUAGGUAUUUAUGCAGGUGAAGCCACGGAAUACGACUAGUUUUAAAUAUAAUUCUAACCAGGCUUAGUGGGCUUGAUUCAGCGACUUGAUAAAAUAUAAAGACUGCUAUUCAGUUGGAUAUUAUUAUUGAAGGAGACCAUAUGCGAAGGUUUUGCACCCUUAUGUGGGUAAAUUCCUGUCCAAGACACAUUAUCAUUAUAUUAUCAUAAUAAUAUAAAGAUCAGUUAACAGUCCGAAAAAUUGUGAUAUAGGUUGUAUUAUUUGUUUCAACUAAUUGUUUAGUAAAUUAUUUUUUAUGAAAAAUAACCAAAACUGUGAUUUUGUUUAUAUUUGAUGUUGCCAAGAAAUAAUUGUAUUCAAUAAAGAUAUGUACUAAAAUAUCUAUAUACCUAAUAAUUAUUACAACAUAGAAUUAAAUUUUCUUUCUAUGUAUAUAUAUGUAAUAAGAGAUAAUUACAUUCAGAAAUCA